rnacentral:sRNA from 1 species
UUAUUCUAUAAUUAUGGGGCGACGCCGC